rnacentral:rRNA from 1 species
CCGUGAACCUUUACUAUAGCUUGACACUGAACAUUGAGCCUUGAUGUGUAGGAUAGGUGGGAGGCUUUGAAGCGUGGACGCCAGUCUGCGUGGAGCCGACCUUGAAAUACCACCCUUUAAUGUUUGAUGUUCUAACGUGGACCCGUAAUCCGGGUUGCGGACAGUGUCUGGUGGGUAGUUUGACUGGGGCGGUCUCCUCCUAAAGAGUAACGGAGGAGCACGAAGGUUGGCUAAUCCUGGUCGGACAUCAGGAGGUUAGUGCAAUGGCAUAAGCCAGCUUGACUGCGAGCGUGACGGCGCGAGCAGGUGCGAAAGCAGGUCAUAGUGAUCCGGUGGUUCUGAAUGGAAGGGCCAUCGCUCAACGGAUAAAAGGUACUCCGGGGAUAACAGGCUGAUACCGCCCAAGAGUUCAUAUCGACGGCGGUGUUUGGCACCUCGAUGUCGGCUCAUCACAUCCUGGGGCUGAAGUAGGUCCCAAGGGUAUGGCUGUUCGCCAUUUAAAGUGGUACGCGAGCUGGGUUUAGAACGUCGUGAGACAGUUCGGUCCCUAUCUGCCGUGGGCGCUGGAGAACUGAGGGGGGCUGCUCCUAGUACGAGAGGACCGGAGUGGACGCAUCACUGGUGUUCGGGUUGUCAUGCCAAUGGCACUGCCCGGUAGCUAAAUGCGGAAGAGAUAAGUGCUGAAAGCAUCUAAGCACGAAACUUGCCCCGA